rnacentral:rRNA from 1 species
GUGAGUAGUUCAGAGUUUGAUCCUGGCUCAGGAUGAACGCUAGCGGCAGGCUUAACACAUGCAAGUCGAGGGGCAGCAUGAGACGGAGAUUCGUCGAAGUCUUGAUGGCGACCGGCGCAAGGGUGCGUAACGCGUGAGCAACUUGCCCGUUUCUGGGGAAUAGCCGGUGGAAACGCCGACUAAUACCCCAUAGCAUUGACUUUGGGCAUCCUUAGUCAAUUAAAGAAUUUCGGAAACGGAUAGGCUCGCGUGGCAUUAGCUGGAUGGCGGGGUAACGGCCCACCAUGGCAACGAUGUCUAGGGGUUCUGAGAGGAAGGUCCCCCACACUGGAACUGAGACACGGUCCAG